CAUAGCGACUAUCGUGGCAUAUCAAUAAGCGGAGGAAAAGAAACUAACAAGGAUUCCCUUAGUAACGGCGAGUGAAGCGGGAAGAGCUCAAAUUUGAAAUCUUCAAGGUUUUACCUUGACGAAUUGUAGUUUAAAGAAGUGUUUUCUGUUGAAGUUUUGGUAAAAGUUCUUUGGAAUAGGACAUCAUAGAGGGUGAGAAUCCCGUAUUUGACCAUUAUUUUCAGCUGUGUGAUACACUUUCAAAGAGUCGGAUUGUUUGGGAAUGCAGUCCAAAAUGGGUGGUAAAUUUCAUCUAAGGCUAAAUACUGGCGAGAGACCGAUAGCGAACAAGUACCGUGAGGGAAAGAUGAAAAGAACUUUGAAAAGAGAGUUAAACAGUACGUGAAAUUGUCAAAAGGGAAGCGUUUGACACCAGUGUUGUUUUUCCGAAAAUCAAUUAUGAAUGGCUUGAUUUUAAGUUUCAUGACCUUAAAAGCUUGUUUCUUAUUUUUCAUGUCUUUCGUAAUGCACUUUUCGGUUAACAAGUCAACAUCAAUUUCUUUUGUUGUAAAAGGGUAUGAGGAAGGUGGCUUUCUUUUCGGAGAAAGUGUUUAUAGCCUUGUAGCCUCUGCAAUCGGAGAGAUUGAGGUCCGCAGCGUAGAUCCUUCGGGGUUAGAUACAGUUUGUGCUAAGUUAUAGCUUUUCAUAGACAACUUGUUGACUAUGUUAGUCUUGUAGCUUACUCGCUUAUGCUAUUUUACCUACGCUUAGGAUGUUGAUAUGCAUGACUGAUAU
rnacentral:rRNA from 1 species